UACCCGGCCCUCACUACGCUCCCGUCCCGUCACCCUAUGUAUUUCAAAUCGGCUAGGUUAUAGUUUGUGCGCGCGACUCUAUCGUCCCGCACGAUCGUAGUCAGUUACGCGACGUACGAACAAUCUGUCGCUCCCGUGUUUAUUUUACACCAUAAUGUGACUUUUCUACAAAAUUGUGCGGAAAACCUUUUAUUCAUACCGUGAAGUGAUUAGAGGCUAGAGCUGUGAGUGUGGAGGUGAAAUUCGCGGUGUUUUGACGUGAAAAAACGCGGGAAGCAAGUGCAAUGCGUUUAUCGAUCUUUUGCAUUGGUGCAAUGUAUGAUAGCGCUACUUAUUCGGUAGUGAACAAAAUUUUAUAAUACAUUAAACAGUGAACGACUAUAUAAAAUUAAAAACCAAAGUAAUUGUGAUUCAAGAAGUACUGUGAUAUGAAGUGAUACCUAAAUGACUUUGAAGUGCCUAACUUUGGAUGAAAAUUAUAC